rnacentral:tRNA from 1 species
UCGGGGACGGCGUCGCGGACCGGCAGCGGCGUGUUCAGGCGAAGGGUGACCCGGUGGCCGCCGCCGACGGGUUCGACGGUCCAGGCGCCGUCAUCCCCGAUC